rnacentral:rRNA from 1 species
UGGCGAACGGGUGAGUAACGCGUGAGGAACCUGCCUCAAAGAGGGGGACAACAGUUGGAAACGACUGCUAAUACCGCAUAAGCCCACGACCCGGCAUCGGGAAGAGGGAAAAGGAGCAAUCCGCUUUGAGAUGGCCUCGCGUCCGAUUAGCUAGUUGGUGAGGUAACGGCCCACCAAGGCGACGAUCGGUAGCCGGUCUGAGAGGAUGAACGGCCACAUUGGGACUGAGACACGGCCCAG